AGGGGUAUAGCUCAGUGGUAGAGUGCAUGCCUAGCACGCACAUGGUCCUGGGUGCAAUCCCCAGUACCUCCA
rnacentral:tRNA from 1 species